ACACGACUACAUUAGAUACCCCCGUAGUCCCAGCCCUAAACGAUGCGCGUUAGGUGUAUCGGUGACCACGAGUCACCGAGGUGCCGAAGGGAAACCGUAAAACGUGCCGCCUGGGAAGUACGGUCGCAAGGCUGAAACUUAAAGGAAUUGCGGGGGAGCACCACAACGGGUGGAGCCUGCGGUUUAAUUGGACUCAACGCCGGGAAGCUUACCGGAUAAGACAGCGGAAUGAUUGCCGGGCUGAAGACUCUGCAUGACCAGCUG
rnacentral:rRNA from 1 species